GACGAACGCUGGCGGCGUGCUUAACACAUGCAAGUCGAACGGAAAGGCCCUGCUUUUGUGGGGUGCUCGAGUGGCGAACGGGUGAGUAACACGUGAGUAACCUGCCCUUGACUUUGGGAUAACUUCAGGAAACUGGGGCUAAUACCGGAUAGGAGCUCCUGCUGCAUGGUGGGGGUUGGAAAGUUUCGGCGGUUGGGGAUGGACUCGCGGCUUAUCAGCUUGUUGGUGGGGUAGUGGCUUACCAAGGCUUUGACGGGUAGCCGGCCUUAGAGGGUGAACGGCCACAUUGGGACUAAGGUACGGCGCAGACUCGUACGGGGGGCAGCAGUGGGGAAUAUUGCACAAUGGGCGGAAGCCUGAUGAAGCGACGCCGGGUGCGGGAUGAAGGCCUUCGGGUUGUAAACCGCUGUCGCCUGUGACGAAGCGUGAGUUACGGUAAUGGGUAAAGAAGCACCGGCUAACUACGUG
rnacentral:rRNA from 1 species